GGAUUUGACAGGUCUGGAACACAUGCUAAUAAAUUGCUCAAAAAUGCUUCCUGCUGAUAUCACGCAGCUAAAUAAUAUUCCACCAACUCAGGAAUCCUACUAUGAUCCCAACCUGCCACCGGUCACUAAAAGUCUAGUAACAAACUGUAAACCAGUAACUGACAAAAUCCACAAAGCAUAUAAGGACAAAAACAAAUAUAGGUUUGAAAUCAUGGGAGAAGAAGAAAUCGCUUUUAAAAUGAUUCGUACCAACGUUUCUCAUGUGGUUGGCCAGUUGGAUGACAUAAGAAAAAACCCUAGUUGGAUCUGAAGGCUUUAUCAGGAAGUUUGUUUGCCUGAAUGACAACAUUGACCACAAUCAUAAAGAUGCUCAGACAGUGAAGGCUGUUCUCAGGGACUUCUAUGAAUCCAUGUUCCCCAUACCUUCCCAAUUUGAACUGCCAAGAGAGUAUCGAAACCGUUUCCUUCAUAUGCAUGAGCUGCAGGAAUGGAGGGCUUAUCGAGACAAAUUGAAGUUUUGGACCCAUUGUGUACUAGCAA
rnacentral:lncRNA from 1 species